rnacentral:tRNA from 1 species
GGGUGUUUAGCUCAGUUGAUUAGAUCAUCUCGUUUACACCGAGAGGGUCAGGGGUUUGAGUCCCUUAACACCCACCA